AAUAGAUACCCCGGUAGUCCACGCCGUAAACGAUGAGUACUAGGGGUAGGGGGUAUCGACCCCCUCUGUCCCGAAGCCAACGCGAUAAGUACUCCGCCUGGGGACUACGGCCGCAAGGCUAAAACUCAAAGGAAUUGACGGGGGGCCCGCACAAGCAGCGGAGCGUGUGGUUUAAUUCGAUGAUACGCGAAGAACCUCACCCAGGUUUGACAUGCAUGUGGUACCGAUCCGAAAGGUGAAGGACCCUUCGGGGAGCAUGCACAGGUGUUGCACGGCCGUCGUCAGCUCGUGCCGUGAGGUGUUGGGUUAAGUCCCGCAACGAGCGCAACCCCUGUCGCCAGUUGUAUUUUUCUGGCGAGACUGCCGAGAAAACCUCGGAGGAAGGAGGGGACGAUGUCAGGUCAGCGUGGCCCUUACGCCUGGGGCUACACACACGCUACAAUGGGUGGUACAACGGGUUGCCAAGCCGCGAGGUGGAGCUAAUCCCAUCAAAGCCAUCCCCAGUUCGGAUUGUAGGCUGAAACCCGCCUGCAUGAAGCCGGAGUUGCUAGUAACCGC
rnacentral:rRNA from 1 species